rnacentral:rRNA from 1 species
UACAGAGGGUGCAAGCGUUGUUCGGAAUUAUUGGGCGUAAAGCGCGUGUAGGCGGCUUUGUAUGUCGGGUGUGAAAGCCCUCGCUUAACCGAGGAAGUGCGCCCGAAACUGCAGAGCUUGAGUGCCGGAGAGGGUGGCGGAACACCCGGGUGUAGAGGUGAAAAUUCGUAGAUAUCGGGUAGAACACCAGUGGCGAAGGCGGCCACCUGGACGGACACUGACGCUGA